rnacentral:rRNA from 1 species
UACGUAGGGGGCAAGCGUUGUCCGGAUUUAUUGGGCGUAAAGAGCGUGUAGGCGGCCAGGUAGGUCUGCUGUGAAAACUCGAGGCUUAACCUCGAGCUGUCGGCGGAAACCAUCUGGCUAGAGUCCGGAAGAGGAGAGCGGAAUUCCUGGUGUAGCGGUGAAAUGCGCAGAUAUCAGGAGGAACACCCGUGGCGAAAGCGGUCUGCUAGGCCGCAACUGACACUGAGGGACGAAAGCUAGGGGAGCGAAUGGG